rnacentral:rRNA from 1 species
CAGGAUGAACGCUGGCGGCGUGCUUAACACAUGCAAGUCGAACGGAGUUUUAACGGAAGUUUCGGAUGGAAGUUAGAACUAGUGGCGGACGGGUGAGUAACGCGUGGGUAACCUGCCUCAUACAGGGGGAUAACAGUUAGAAAUGACUGCUAACACCGCAUAAUAUAGCGAAACCGCAUGAUUUUGCUAUCAAAUAUUUAUAGGUAUGAGAUGGGCCCGCGUCUGAUUAGCUAGUUGGUGGGGUAAAAGCCUACCAAGGCGACGAUCAGUAGCCGGCUUGAGAGAGUGACCGGCCACAUUGGGACUGAGACACGGCCCAAACUCCUACGGGAGGCAGCAGUGGGGAAUAUUGGACAAUGGGGGAAACCCUGAUCCAGCCGACGCCGCGUGAGUGAAGAAGUAUUUCGGUAUGUAAAGCUCUAUCAGCAGGGAAGAUAAUGACAGUACCUGACUAAGAAGCCCCGGCUAACUACGUGCCAGCCGCGGC